AAGCAGCUAACAUCUUUGCUUUUGGGCCACUCGAAUAUUUGGAGAAACUUCACUCUGACAUCGGUUGAAUAAAAUCUUUUCCCAAUCAGCCGUGUGUCACUGGAGUGUUCCUUCUCUGAGCCAGCCAUCUUCCACCAAGUGUUUUUUUUGGAGACCAGCGAAGCAACAAAGACAAUUCACCACAUUUCUGGCGUCACGAACAGGAUUCGUGUUCUCCAGGGGGACUCCUGUCCACUUUCUGCACGAGCAUCCAGCGGCCGGCCGGCGGGCUGUGUUUGAGACGGCAGAUACAUCCGUUCUCUCCAGGAGGACAAAGAGACACAGACUAAACUUCCAGUUCGUCUGGAGAAGAGCUUCGUGGAGCGCCGCAUCCAAAUUCUUAAGGCCAGUGUGAUUUUGUCCACAAACCCUUGCAUUUCACUCUCAUCCGGGAACAAGGGAUUGCAUAGCAGACUGACAACAGACUGAUCAUCAUAAACUUGUGAAUACUUGUUUUUCAAACAAGGCAUCAUCUCAAACAUAAGUCGAGUACUAGUACAGGAAUAGCGCGUGCGGAGUACACCGGAUCAAAUAUCUAUUGAGAAAGCACGUGACAAUACGGUCUUAAGGGUUGCAUCUGAGGUUGGCAAAAUCUUCUGUCAAUUGUUUAAUUGACAUUGUUACCGGCAAUCAAAUCAAAUAAAAAAAAUAAAAUAAAUGGGAGAAAGGAGCUUUGCUAGUCCAAUUGUGACUAACCCCAUCGAGGCGGUGCUGAGAAACAACCCGCUUAUUAAGGGGGUUAAAGAAAUAUCAAAGAGAUGGAAUAAGAGAUGGCCUGAUAUUGAGAGGCCUUGGCCGGUGGAAGGGACUUUUAACAGGGAAGUAAUUGAGACUAUACGUGUACUUGUAUCGGCAUACAAGGCAGGACAUAAAAAAGGAAAAAGAGGAGA